UUAGACUUCACAAGUUAAUCAACUUACAACAAGAUGGAUCGAAGACUUCUCACCAUUCUACUCAUCGGACUCGUCUGCCUCGUCAAGCAAGGAGAGAGUGGCAAGACGCCUUCACUCAACUGGUGGAAAUACAACCAACAGAAAAACCAAGCAAUGCAAAAGGCAGCGGAAGAUUAUUACUACGACCAAUACUACUUGGAGAAAAUGAUGAACGACAUGCCAGUCGACGACCAUCCACGUCAGCACUCUCGCUAUUAAAGUAGAUGAGAUAUUGUUUGUUGCCAUUAUAGUUAAGUAAUGCAACUAAAUAAAAUCAUAUUCUGAAUA